CGCAUCUGUGCAUGCAGCAUAUCAAUAAGCGGAGGAAAAGAAACUAACAAGGAUUCCCUUAGUAACGGCGAGUGAAGCGGGAAGAGCUCAAAUUUGAAAUCUUAAAGGUUUUCCCUUGACGAAUUGUAGUUUAAAGAAGUGUUUUCUGUUGAAGUUUUGGUAAAAGUUCUUUGGAAUAGGACAUCAUAGAGGGUGAGAAUCCCGUAUUUGACCAUUAUUUUCAGCUUUGUGAUACACUUUCAAAGAGUCGGAUUGUUUGGGAAUGCAGUCCAAAAUGGGUGGUAAAUUUCAUCUAAAGCUAAAUAUUGGCGAGAGACCGAUAGCGAACAAGUACCGUGAGGGAAAGAUGAAAAGAACUUUGAAAAGAGAGUUAAACAGUACGUGAAAUUGUCAAAAGGGAAGCGUUUGACACCAGUGUUGUUUUCUCGAAAAUCAAUUAAAAAUGGCUCGAUUUUGUAUUGCUGAGACCUUAAAAGCUCACUGCACAUUUUUCGUGUCUUUUUUAAUGCACUUUUCGUUUAACAAGUCAACAUCAGUUCCUUUUGUUGUAAAAGGGUCAUUGGAAGGUAGCUUUCUUUUCGGAGAAAGUGUUUAUAGCCUUUGGCCUCUGCAAUCGAAGAGACUGAGGUCUGUAGCGUAGACUCUUCGGGGUUAGAUACAUUUGUGCUAAGUUAUAGCUUUUUAUAGACAACUUGUUGACUAUAAUUAGUCUUGUAGCUUACUCGCUUAUGCUAUUUUACCUACGCUUAGGAUGUUGAAGAUAUGCGCGACACG
rnacentral:rRNA from 1 species